AAGACUAUAGUUUCAGGGAUCAUUUCUAUAGUUUGUUUCUGACUUAUCUCAUGUCGGACAGCGCCCCUGUUCCACGUUCCAUUGCUGA
rnacentral:snoRNA from 1 species